UACAGAGGUGGCAAGCGUUGUUCGGAAUUACUGGGCGUAAAGGGCGCGUAGGCGGUUCAGUAAGUCGGCUGUGAAAUCUCCACGCUCAACGUGGAGGGGUCAGUCGAAACUGCUGUGACUCGAGUCCGGUAGAGGAAUGUGGAAUUCCCGGUGUAGCGGUGAAAUGCGCAGAGAUCGGGAGGAACACCCGUAGCGAAGGCAGCAUUCUGGGCCGGUACUGACGCUGAGGAGCGAAAGCGUGGGGAGCAAACAGG
rnacentral:rRNA from 1 species